GGCCGUGUGGUCUAGUAGCUAUGAUUCUCGCUUUGGGUGCGAGAGGUCCCGGGUUCAAAUCCCGGCUCGGCCC
rfam:Stylonychia lemnae strain 130c genome assembly, contig: Contig11497